UGGGACUGAGACACGGCCCAGACCUCUACGGAGGGCAGCAGUGAGGAAUCUUGCGCAAUGGGCGAAAGCCUGACGCAGCCACGCCGCGUGUCGGAAGACGGCCCUAUGGGUUGUAAACGACUUUUGUCAGGGAAGAACAGGGGGGUUUCGAUCUCCUAUGACGGUACCUGGUGAAUAAGCACCGGCUAACUCCGUGCCAG
rnacentral:rRNA from 1 species